GAUGAACGCUAGCGAUAGGCUUAACACAUGCAAGUCGAGGGGCAGCAUGGUCUUAGCUUGCUAAGACUGAUGGCGACCGGCGCACGGGUGCGUAACGCGUAUGCAACUUGCCUCACAGAGGGGGAUAACCCGUCGAAAGACGGACUAAUACCGCGUACACUCCAUCUUGGGCAUCCAAGGUAGAGGAAAUGAAAUUCGCUGUGAGAUAGGCAUGCGUCCCAUUAGCUAGUUGGUGAGGUAACGGCUCACCAAGGCGACGAUGGGUAGGGGAACUGAGAGGUUGAGCCCCCACACUGGUACUGAGACACGGACCAGACUACUACGGGAGGCAGCAGUGAGGAAUAUUGGUCAAUGGGCGAGAGCCUGAACCAGCCAAGUCGCGUGAAGGAUGACUGUCUUAUGGAUUGUAAACUUCUUUUAUACGGGAAUAACAAGAGUCACGUGUGACUCCCUGCAUGUACCGUAUGAAUAAGCAUCGGCUAACUCCGUG
rnacentral:rRNA from 1 species